GUGGGGAAUAUUGGACAAUGGGCGAAAGCCUGAUCCAGCCAUGCCGCGUGUGUGAAGAAGGUCUUCGGAUUGUAAAGCACUUUAAGUUGGGAGGAAGGGCAGUAAGUUAAUACCUUGCUGUUUUGACGUUACCGACAGAAUAAGCACCGGCUAACUUCGUGCCAGCAGCCGCGGUAAUACGAAGGGUGCAAGCGUUAAUCGGAAUUACUGGGCGUAAAGCGCGCGUAGGUGGUUUUGUAAGUUGGAGGUGAAAUCCCCAGGCUCAACCUGGGAACUGCCUCCAAAACUGCAUGACUAGAGUACGGUAGAGGGUAGUGGAAUUUCCUGUGUAGCGGUGAAAGGCGUAGAUAUAGGAAGGAACACCAGUGGCGAAGGCGACUACCUGGACUGAUACUGACACUGAGGUGCGAAAGCGUGGGGAGCAAACAGGAUUAGAAACCCGUGUAGUCC
rnacentral:rRNA from 1 species